CGGGAGGGCGUAGCCGUAGUCUUGGCCCACGUCAUUCUGUGCCCCGGGUCAGGUCACCGCCCGGAGGGUAUGGGAAGAGAAAUGAAGAAGACUGGUACUCCCAGACCCUUCCGUAUCGAGGACCCCAAUCAACAACCCACCUGAGAUGGGGUCCCACUAUUUUGCCCAGGCUGGUCUUGAACUGCUGGGCUCAAGCAAUCCUCCUGCCUCAGCCUCCCAAAGUGCUGGGAUUACAGGUGUGAGCCACUGUGCCCGGCCCGGAGAACAUGAUCUUAACCAUACUGUCUUCCAAGUGAAAGAUUCUACCUUUCUAAGACAUCUGGAGUCAGACAGACCUGAGUUCAAGUCGUGCCUUCCUCCCCACUUUACUGAACCUUCAGUGAGUCUUUCUACCUCAGAAGGCUGUGAGGAUGCCAUGGGGUAAUGAAUGUAAAGUGUUUAAGUGCUUGGCUGACACUGAGUACUAAAUAAAUA
rnacentral:lncRNA from 1 species